AUUGAACGCUGGCGGCAGGCCUAACACAUGCAAGUCGAGCGCGCGGCGGACGGGUGAGUAAUGUCUGGGAAACUGCCUGAUGCAGGGGGAUAACUACUGGAAACGGUAGCUAAAACAGCAUACAAUCAGAUGUGCCCAGAUGGGAUUAGCUAGUAGGUGGGGUAAUGGCUCACCUAGGCGACGAUCCCUAGCUGGUCUGAGAGGAUGACCAGCCACACUGGAAUUGAGACACGGCCUAGACUCCUACGGGGGGCAGCGUGGGGGAAUAUUGCACAAUGGGCGCAAGCCUGAGGCAGCCAUGCCGCGUGUGUGAAGAAGGCCUUCGGGUUGUAAAGCCCUUUCAUCGGGGAUGCGUUAUCCUCAGAAGAAGCACCGGCUAACUCCGUGCCAGCAGCCGCGGUAAUUC
rnacentral:rRNA from 1 species